GACGAACGCUGGCGGCGUGCCUAAUACAUGCAAGUUGAGCGCUGAAGGUUGGUACUUGUACCAACUGGAUGAGCAGCGAACGGGUGAGUAACGCGUGGGGAAUCUGCCUUUGAGCGGGGGACAACAUUUGGAAACGAAUGCUAAUACCGCAUAAAAACUUUAAACACAAGUUUUAAGUUUGAAAGAUGCAAUUGCAUCACUCAAAGACGAUCCCGCGUUGUAUUAGCUAGUUGGUGAGGUAAAGGCUCACCAAGGCGAUGGUACAUAGCCGACCUGAGAGGGUGAUCGGCCCCAAUGGGACUGGGAAACGGCCCAAACUCCUACGGGAGGCAGCAGUAGGGAAUCUUCGGCAAUGGAGGAAAGUCUGACCGAGCAACGCCGCGUGAGUGAAGAAGGGUUUCGGAUCGUAAAACUCUGUUGGUAGAGAAGAACGUUGGUGAGAGUGGAAAGCUCAUCAAGUGACGGUAACUACACAGAAAGGGACGGCUAACUACGUG
rnacentral:rRNA from 1 species